rnacentral:rRNA from 1 species
UACGUAGGAGGCGAGCGUUGUCCGGAGUUACUGGGCGUAAAGGGCGUGUAGGCGGCCAGACAGGUCCGUUGUGAAAACUCGAGGCUCAACCUCGAGAUGUCGAUGGAAACCGUCUGGCUAGAGUCCGGAAGAGGAGAGUGGAAUUCCUGGUGUAGCGGUGAAAUGCGCAGAUAUCAGGAAGAACACCAAUGGCGAAGGCAGCUCUCUGGGACGGUACUGACGCUGAGACGCGAAAGCGUGGGGAGCGAACAGG